AGCUUUUUGCAGUAGCAGUAUUGUAGCUAGUGGAGUUUAUCUGAGUCACAAUUACUGCUAAUUGAAAAAAUAAUUUUCAGUAAUUACAGCUUCACUAAAGAAUCCUGCUUUUGGCAUAAUAGUAAAAUAU
ensembl:snRNA U4 U4 spliceosomal RNA